AUAAAAGCGUAAACAUGGAUUGCGAUUAAUGCAAAACAAAGCAAGAAGCACUUUUCCCUGGGUUUCUUCUAUCUCUCUCUCUCCCCCUCUCUCUUGAUUCGCCUCGAUUGAAAAGGGCAAGGAACGCUGUCUGUUCCCUCUCCUUUGCUUUUAAAAAUUUUCCUUCGUCAGUUUCCUCUUAGUCUCUCUCUUGCGAUUGUCGAUCGUCUUUGGUUAAUGAAAACCAGUCAUCUCCUUUUUUUUUUAUGUUUACUUUUUCGAUCGCAGCAGCAAUGGAGAUGAGGGUUUCGCUGAAUCUGCAAUGGAGUUUGAGGUUCGGGUUUCCGCCAUCCGAUCGAAUCCGCAAUGGAGGUGAGAGUCGAGUCAUCUAAUCGAUGCAGCAAAUCAAGGCGAGGCUCAACUGAAUCGGUUUGGUCAGUAGAACGAUUUGGAUUCGCUAUGGCUCUACUUGCGGCAAGAUCUGUUGUGCACACUAUGUCGCACGCAUCCCUUGGCGAGAGAGAGCAGGCAAGACGCACGAUCAGAAGGUCGAGCGGGGAGAAACUAGAAAGGCAAAACCCAAGCCAAACGAGAAGAGAGAAUGGAGAACCCUAGCUCAGAGUGAGCCUGAAGAGCUGGUGAUGGCUUUCUCACUACCGACGUCGAUGAUGUUGAGAGUGCAUAGGAUGGAGCGUGGAAACAUCGCAAUCAGAAUCAUCUUUUGGUUUGCCAAGGACGAGCUCAACCUCUCCAAGGCCAAGACCAGGUACAGUUCUACAAAGAGGGUGAAGGCUCAAAUAUGGGAUGUCGCUGGCUGUGAGAGUUGUCAGAUGGAUCUGCAUAGCGAUGUUCAUAAUAUGAUACAGGUUCUUCUAUCAAAUCCUAGAGUUACUCACUCUUUCUUUCUGUGUGUGGGGAUAAUGGUGAUUUCAAUUGUCGUAUGUAUCUUAGCCAUCUAUCUCUCUGUCUUUGAACAUGUAAUUUCAAACGUCGAGAUAUAAUAUCUUUACGGAUGUUCCGCUAGAGAUCAGUAUUCAAAAUGGUUGCUCUCAUCUUUGAGAUGAGAGCCAAAGGGGAUUGGAAUUCCUGUA